UAGACCUCAGAUCAGGCAGGAUUACCUGCUGAACUUAAGCAUAUCAAUAAGCGGAGGAAAAGAAACUANCCAGGAUUCCCCUAGUAACGGCGAGUGAAGCGGGAAAAGCUCAAAUUUGUAAUCUGGCGCCUUUGGCGUCCGAGUUGUAAUCUCGAGAAGUAUUUUCCGCGCUGGACCGUGUACAAGUCUCCUG
rnacentral:rRNA from 1 species